rnacentral:rRNA from 1 species
AAAUUGAAGAGUUUGAUCAUGGCUCAGAUUGAACGCUGGCGGCAGGCCUAACACAUGCAAGUCGAACGGUAACAGGAAGCAGCUUGCUGCUUCGCUGACAAGUGGCGGACGGGUGAGUAAUGUCUGGGAAACUGCCUGAUGGAGGGGGAUAACUACUGGAAACGGUGGCUAAUACCGCAUGA